AGAGUACGUGAAACCGUUCAGGGGUAAACCUGAGAAACCCGAAAGGUCGAAAGGGGAGAUUCAGCGUGUCUCGAUUGCGGCGCUGGAUGGUCGUGCGACGGAAGACGUACGCGUCAUCCGCACCUUCCGUCCUCCGAACCGUAGUCGAACGCGUGCACUUCUCCCCCUGUAGGACGUCGCGAUCCGUUGGGUGCCGGUCUAAGGCCCGCAAUGGAGCCCGUUCGGACGGUUUACCGUUCCGGACGAACUUGCGGUGUUUCCCGGUCGGCUCGCUCGACGGUAUACAGAUGGCGCGGGGCCGCUACACAUUAGUUAGCGUCCGACCGGCGGCAAGCGCGCUCGUCGUGACGGUGAUCGGACCUGGUGCCGGUCCUGUCCCCGAGUGGCUGUUCGCUGCCGUGUUCUCGGACAGACCUCGUCGAAACGCCGAUCUGCGACGCUAUAGCUUUGGGUACUUUCAGGACCCGUCUUG
rnacentral:rRNA from 1 species